UUUAAUCUUAAGAGUCACCCCAUUCAAGAAAAUAGGUGUUUUAGUAUUUUGACCAAUGAGUUGAGAGAAAUGGUUUGUCAGGGCUUUAUGGAAAAGAUCCUCCUUUCUCCUCUAGGAUCUUUCUGGGAACCAUUCUGUCUCCCUCCUACUGAAUGUGAAUGAGAACACUGUGAGUACAGAUUUCUACCGGAAACAUUCUAAAGACACAGGAAGAGCGGAAUUGGAGGAUUUUGUAAAUUAGAUGUAGACUGGGAGAUGAGGACAAGGAUGAUGGAGAAGGAAGAGCUCUCGACACGCAUCCUGAUAAUAA
rnacentral:lncRNA from 1 species